rnacentral:rRNA from 1 species
AUUGAACGCUGGCGGCAUGCUUUACACAUGCAAGUCGAACGGCAGCACGGGCUUCGGCCUGGUGGCGAGUGGCGAACGGGUGAGUAAUAUAUCGGAACGUACCCAGAAGUGGGGGAUAACGUAGCGAAAGAUACGCUAAUACUGCAUACGAUCUACUGCUGAAGGAAGGGGAGCGCAAGGCCUUGUGCUCGUGGAGCGGCCGAUAUCCGAUUUGCUAGUUGGUGAGGUAAAGGCUCACCAAGGCGACGAUCAGUAGCUGGUCUGAGAGGACGACCAGCCACACUGGAACUGAGACACGGUCCAGACUCCUACGGGAGGCUGCAGUGGGGAAUUUUGGACAAUGGGCGCAAGCCUGAUCCAGCAAUGCCGCGUGAGUGAAGAAGGCCUUCGGGUUGUAAAGCUCUUUUGUCAGGGAAGAAACGGUAGAGGCUAAUAUCCUGUGCUAAUGACGGUACCUGAAGAAUAAGCACCGGCUAACUACGUG